rnacentral:rRNA from 1 species
CACGUGGGCGGGUCUUUAAGUCGGGGGUGAAAUCCUGGAGCUCAACUCCAGAACUGCCUUCGAUACUGAGGAUCUCGAGUCCGGGAGAGGUGAGUGGAACUCCGAGUGUAGAGGUGAAAUUCGUAGAUAUUCGGAAGAACACCAGUGGCGAAGGCGGCUCACUGGCCCGGUACUGACGCUGAGGUGCGAAAGCGUGGGGAGCAAACA